UACGUAGGGGGCAAGCGUUGUCCGGAUUUAUUGGGCGUAAAGAGCGUGUAGGCGGCCAGGUAGGUCCGUUGUGAAAACUGGAGGCUUAACCUCCAGCUGUCGAUGGAAACCAUCUGGCUAGAGUCCGGAAGAGGAGAGUGGAAUUCCUGGUGUAGCGGUGAAAUGCGCAGAUAUCAGGAAGAACACCCGUGGCGAAGGCGGCUCUCUGGGACGGUACUGACGCUGAGACGCGAAAGCGUGGGGAGUAAACAGG
rnacentral:rRNA from 1 species